rnacentral:rRNA from 1 species
AUUGAACGCUGGCGGCAUGCCUUACACAUGCAAGUCGAACGGCAGCACGGGAGCAAUCCUGGUGGCGAGUGGCGAACGGGUGAGUAAAGUAUCGGAACGUACCUUUCAGUGGGGGAUAACGUAGCGAAAGUUACGCUAAUACCGCAUAUUCUGUGAGCAGGAAAGCAGGGGAUCGCAAGACCUUGCGCUGAUUGAGCGGCCGAUAUCAGAUUAGCUAGUUGGUGGGGUAAAGGCCUACCAAGGCGACGAUCUGUAGCGGGUCUGAGAGGAUGAUCCGCCACACUGGAACUGAGACACGGUCCAGACUCCUACGGGAGGCAGCAGUGGGGAAUUUUGGACAAUGGGGGCAACCCUGAUCCAGUCAUGCCGCGUGAGUGAAGAAGGCCUUCGGGUUGUAAAGCUCUUUCGGUCCGGGACGAAAUCGCACGGGCUAAUAUCCUGUGUGGAUGACGGUACCCGC